UACGUAGGGUGCAAGCGUUAAUCGGAAUACUGGGCGUAAAGCGUGCGCAGGCGGUGAUGUAAGACAGGUGUGAAAUCCCCGGGCUUAACCUGGGAACUGCAUUUGUGACUGCAUCGCUGGAGUGCGGCAGAGGGGGAUGGAAUUCCGCGUGUAGCAGUGAAAUGCGUAGAUAUGCGGAGGAACACCGAUGGCGAAGGCAGUCCCCUGGGCCUGCACUGACGCUCAUGCACGAAAGCGUGGGGAGCAAACAGG
rnacentral:rRNA from 1 species